GGAAACAGCAACAGGUAGGAAACAGCAACAGGUAGGAAACAGCAACAGGUAGGAAACAGCAACAGGUAGGAGACAACAACAGGUAGGAAACAGCAACAGGUAGGAAACAGCAACAGGUAGGAAACAGCAACAGGUAGGAAACAGCAACAGGU